AAAGGAAUUGACGGGGACCCGCACAAGCGGUGGAGCAUGUGCUUUAAUUCGAUGCAACGCGAAGAACCUUACCCGGUCUUGACAUAGUUCUGCUCGGUUUAGAGAUAGACCUUUCAGCAAUGACAGGACAUACAGAUGCUGCAUGGUUGUCGUCAGCUCGUGUCGUGAGAUGUUGGGUUAAGUCCCGCAACGAGCGCAACCCUUGCCGAUAGUUACCAUCAUUAAGUUGGGGACUCUAUUGGGACUGCCUUCGCAAGGAGGAGGAAGGUGGGGAUGACGUCAAAUCAUCAUGGCUCUUACGACCGGGGCUAGACACGUGCUACAAUGGUGACUACAAAGAGCUGCUACUUGGUAACAAGACGCUAAUCUCAAAAAAGUCAUCUCAGUUCGGAUAGAGGUCUGCAAUUCGACCUCUUGAAGUUGGAAUCGCUAGUAAUCGUGGGUCAGCAUACCACGGUGAAUACGUUCCCGGGUCUUGUACACACCGCCCGU
rnacentral:rRNA from 1 species